rnacentral:rRNA from 1 species
AACGAACGCUGGCGGCAUGCCUAACACAUGCAAGUCGAACGAGACCUUCGGGUCUUUUGGGGAACGGGUGCGUAACGCGUGGGAACCUUCCCUUAUGUUCGGAAUAACUCUCCGAAAGGGGUGCUAAUACCGGACAAUGGCUUCUGCCCAAUGAUUUAUUGCCUCUGGAUGGGCCCGCGUUGGAUUAGCUAUUUGGUAGGGUAAAAGCCUACCAAGGCGACGAUCCAUAGCUGGUCUGAGAGGAUGAUCAGCAACACUGGGACUGGGACACGGCCCAGACUCCUACGGGAGGCAGCAAUGGUGAAUAUGGGACAAUGGGCGAAAGCCUGAUCCAGCAAGGCCGCGAGAGUGAUGAAGGCGUUAGGGUUGUAAAGCUCUUUUACCCGGGAUGAUAAUGACAGUACCGGGAGAAUAAGCUCCGGCUAACUCCGUG